GACGAACGCUGGCGGCGUGCUUAACACAUGCAAGUCGAACGGAAAGGCCCUGCUUUUGUGGGGUGCUCGAGUGGCGAACGGGUGAGUAACACGUGAGUAACCUGCCCUUGACUUUGGGAUAACUUCAGGAAACUGGGGCUAAUACCGGAUAGGAGCUCCUGCUGCAUGGUGGGGGUUGGAAAGUUUCGGCGGUUGGGGAUGGACUCGCGGCUUAUCAGCUUGUUGGUGGGGUAGUGGCUUACCAAGGCUUUGACGGGUAGCCGGCCUGAGAGGGUGACCGGCCACAUUGGGACUGAGAUACGGCCCAGACUCCUACGGGAGGCAGCAGUGGGAAUAUUGCACAAUGGGCGGAAGCCUGAUGCAGCAACGCCGCGUGCGGGAUGACGGCCUUCGGGUUGUAAACCGCUUUCGCCUGUGACGAAGCGUGAGUGGCGGUAAUGGGUAAAGAAGCACCGGCUAACUACGUG
rnacentral:rRNA from 1 species